CGGAUUUGCUUUAUUUAAAUCAACACCAUCGUAUCCCUGGCUGGGUUGGAAGGUAAUUAUCAAAAGUUAGGAGAGUAAUUUUGCCCGUAGGGUUUGGGAUGGAUUGGGUGGCUUAGCGCAUAGAGAGGGAGAUGGAGAGCGAAACGGUGUUGUCAUUCGGUGAGGGUUUCGGGGAUGGGAGGCCAUGCCGCCUCUGAUAUAGAGAUAGAGAGAGAGGGUGAGGGAGACAGAGCGACAGAGAGAGAGGGAGACUGAGGAGUAGGGAUCACUGCUACUGACGACUCGGUCACUGUCUCAGAUCUCCUCCUCAACGCCAACGCCCACCGAGUCCAGUGUCUCGCUCUCCAAGCCCAAAGAAGGCAGCUUCGCCGACAUGAUCGAUAAAGCUUUGGAGAACGAGUUCAAAGAGAAUGAUUAGAACGAAGUGGAACUCUCUCCUCCCCAUACUCAACCCUCUACUUCUUCUCUGAUUCGUGGUUGGGUGCAGCGGCAGCACAGAGCUUUCGCCGGAGGAAGAAAGGAUUUUGAUACGAGACAUUGCUUUGGCUGCUGAAGCCAAUUUCAAAGAGGGCGAUGUCGUCUACUUGCUCACCCGAAGGUUUGCAUGGAAGAUGAGAAGACGAUCUCUGUAUCCUUUGAAACACGUAUUUUGGAAAGCUUGAUGAUUCGCCUAUGUUUCAUGAACAGGCAGUGGCACAUAUUUGGGCAGGGCUUGGAGAGCCGGACCCCAGAUGGUGUAUGCCUACACCAGCAUGACUAAGGUGGUUAACCCUGCCGGCUGGAGCGACGAUAACCACGCCGAACGUGACAAAAAUGUGGCCUACAAAGAGUACAAGUGCAUGGGUCCAGGUUCAUGUACAUAAAAUAAGAGAAAUUUGAGCAAAGAACUGACUGACAAAUAAGUUAAGCCUUUCACUAGCCUUGGAUGUAUUCAGGGUAUGGUUGCUACCUCCUCCAUAUCCAAGUAUGUCUAUAUGUAUAUAGACUAGGUACAUGAAGAUGUUUCAUUUAGAAAAUCGUGCAAGUCAUCAAGAGAAAAUCGUGCUUCUCUUUUGGAGGAACUUCCACUUUCACUGGGUCCUGCUUCAUUACUGUAUUGUUCACAUGUUCGCAUAAUCAUGUCUUAUUGUACAGUUUUUUAUUCCUCAAAAUCACAAUUGGUAAUAUCCUCACACAAAGAAAUGCUUCUGUUGGAAUAUUGUUUCAUCGUUCGGUUGAGCUC